rnacentral:rRNA from 1 species
GAUGAACGCUGGCGGCGUGCCUAAUACAUGCAAGUCGAGCGAACAGACGAGGAGCUUGCUCCUUUGACGUUAGCGGCGGACGGGUGAGUAACACGUAGGUAACCUACCUAUAAGACUGGGAUAACUUCGGGAAACCGGAGCUAAUACCGGAUAAUAUUUCGAACCGCAUGGUUCGAUAGUGAAAGAUGGCUUUGCUAUCACUUAUAGAUGGACCCGCGCCGUAUUAGCUAGUUGGUAAGGGAACGGCUUACCAAGGCAACGAUACGUAGCCGACCUGAGAGGGUGAUCGCCCACCCUGGAACUGAGGCCCGGUCCCGACUCCUACAGGAGGCCGCCGUAGGGAAUCUUCCGCAAUGGGCGAAAGCCUACCGGAGCCACGCCGCGUGAGUCAUGAAGGUCCUCGGAUCGUAAAACUCUGUUAUUAGGGAAGAACAAACGUGUAAGUAACUGUGCACGUCUUGACGGUACCUAAUCAGAAAGCCACGGCUAACUACGUG